AUUACAGGUUAUUUUUUUUUGGGAGUGGCCUCCAGAGAUUUCUAUCCAAUCCCCUGCUCAAAGCAGAUCUAAUCAUAUCAGGCUGCUCAGGGUAGUGUCCAGUUGAGUCUUGAACAACUCCAAGGAUGCCCUUCACAACAUCUAUGGGCAACUUGCUCCAGUGUUUGACUACCCUCACAGUAGAGACAAUAAAUCCUUUGUUCUAACCAUAUGUCUGACUUACUUCCACAACCUGGGAAGACCUGUGGUGGUUUCUGUAGCACCAAUAAGGGAACAGACAAAAGGGAAAAAAUGGCCUUCCUAUCAGUCUUUAAUGUCUAACACUGCUGUGUGGUCUUCCUGGUGCCAUGUACUUAGUAGUAUGGGGAAGUGAAGUACUACUCAUGGUAGAUUAGGGUAGAUUUCAGGACCACCUAAGUAAACUGGACAUAUAGAACUUCAUAGGACAAGAUAGUCUUCAUCUGAGAGCACUAAGGGAGCUGAUGCACUGGGUUUGGCUAGGAUAGAGUUAAUUUUCUUCAUAGUGGCUUGUAUGGGGCUAUGUUUGGGAUUUGUGACCAAACAGUGUUGAUAACACACCCAUGUUUUACUUAUUGCUGAGCAGUGCUUACACAGCAUCAAGGCCUUUUCUGCUUCUCACAACACCCCGCCAGUAAGUAGGCUGGGGAUGCACAAGAUGCUAAGGACACAUCUGGGACAGCUGAAUCCAGCUGUCCAAAGGGAUAUUCCAUACCCAUAUGUCAUGAUCAGCAAUAAAACCUGGAGGAAGAAGGAUGAAGGAAGAAUAGUUGGAGUUACGGUAUUUGUCUUCCCAAGUAAUUGUUAUGUGUGAUGGAGCCCCGCUUUCCUGGAAUUAGCUAAACACCUGCCUGCUCAUAGGCAGUAGUGAAUGAAUUCCUUGUUUUGCUUUGCUCAUGCGUGCAGCUUUUGCUUUUGCUAUUAAACUGUCUUUAUUUCAACCUAUGAGUUUUCUCACUUUUACCCUUCUGAUUCUUUCCCCCAUCCUGCUGCAGGGGAAAGAAUGAGCAGCUGUAUGGGGCUAAGCUGCCUACCGGGGCUAACCCACAACAGCUGACAACAUUGUGAGUCUUCUCUCAAAACGGAAAAAUUGAAAUUUCACAUCUAUUUUCAAGGAAAAAAGGAAGGAAGAUCUGGGGAAUGAAAUGAUAAUCAGCUUCACCUCAUUACCCUGGAAGAUUCUGAAGCAAAUCCUGCUGCAACUGGAAGAUGAGAUCAACUGAUAAGUGUCUAUGACAAUCAGAAAAGCUGAGUUCAUCUAAAGUGUAAAAUGGACUGUAUGUUGAGGAACAAUGUACGAUGUAUACCACCAGAUGAAGGUUGGUCAUAAUUCAGCUUAACAGCAAGGCACCACUUUGAGAAAAUAAAAGAUUUUAGUCUCCUGAGAUAACUCAAACGUCUUAUCCACUCUCCCUCAGUUCCAUUGCCCGAUUCUGCCUACAGGACAGAAAACUGAGAACAGUUGUUGCUUCCCAGCCCUACCAGACUCAUCCUCUUCAUGCCCAUCUGGGAAAAAAAAAGCAAAAACUAUCUGUCUACACCACUAGUAAUCCUGAGAAUUUCCUUAAUGGCUUUGCACACAAAGAACUACUGAAGAUGAAAGACCACGAAGUAUAUAAACAGGAUCUUUCCUGAUAAGGCCUAAAACCGUGUUGGUUUGUUGUUUUGUUUUUUUUUUUCCCCACAGUAGAAGUUAAAGGAACAAUGGAAUCAAAGGCUUAAUUUUAAAAUUAAAUUCUCUAGAUAGCUUCAAAUGGAGCUACCAGUGGUAAUAGAUGAUGAAGUCCUUACUAAUGAUUCAACUCAAGAGCACAUGAAGAGGAAACUCUAACAGAAGCUAGCAUUUGAACUUAAACCACAUCAUUUUAGUUAGCCUGGGAACAUCCCUA